UAUUGGAUAUGCAGAGACAUGGU
rnacentral:siRNA from 1 species